CCUACGGGAGGCGGCAGUGGGGAAUAUUGCACAAUGGGGGAAACCCUGAUGCAGCAACGCCGCGUGAGUGAAGAAGGUUUUCGGAUUGUAAAGCUCUGUUAGCAGGGAAGAGGAAGGACGGUACCUGCAGAGGAAGCCACGGCUAACUACGCGCCAGCAGCCGCGGUAAUACGUAGGUGGCAAGCGUUGUCCGGAUUUACUGGGUGUAAAGGGCGUGUAGCCGGGUUGACAAGUCAGAUGUGAAAUCCUGCGGCUUAACCGCAGAACUGCAUUUGAAACUGUUGAUCUUGAGUACUGGAGAGGCA
rnacentral:rRNA from 1 species